AUGACAAAAACCCCUUUGCAAGGAUGUUCACACCCCAGCUGCUUCCCUUGGGGAAACAAUGUUUUGCACCCCUUAUUCAGCGUCACUGUCAUUAUAGCUUCUGAUUGGCCCGGCUUAGGCGCAUACUUUAUGCCUAUUGGCCCUCGCUUCUGUCCUCAAGCCCGCGGCCAUCCUAGGUCCCGCCCCCUCGCCACCGCGGCGCCACCUGGGAAUUGUAGUCCGCCUUCCGCUCCGUCCCGUCGUGGGACUUUUUGCCCUCCAGUUCCCGGGUCCCUCAGGUGGCCACCCCAGUGGGCACACGCCCAGGCGCCGCUCCUGCCCCGCGCUCCCUCCCUCUGCCUUUCACUUCCCAGCUGCCAAGAUCUUGGAAGCUUUGAAGCUCAGCAAAGAAGGAAAAUCCAUUGAGAACAGUCUGUAAAGCAUAUUAAAAUUGGAUCCCAAGAUCCUUUGUGGAAGAGCCUUGGCACCCUGACUCACCUUAUAUUGAGCCAACAUGACAGAAAAAUACAUCAUUUUUCUCUACCGUGAAAGGAAACAAGUGUGAAAAUAAUGGGAAAGAUGUGCAGUUUAAAACAAAGCAACAUAAUUUGCACUGUGAGUUGCUUAAUGUAUUAUAUAGUUAUUAUCUCACUUAAGCUCCCCAGGUAAUAUAAUUGCUAAUAUUAAAAAAUCUGUUUUGUUUUGUCACCUCAACAGAACAUUUUGCCUUGAGACUUAAUUAAUGCAUUUCUCUCUUAAGCAUGUGUUUUAGACACAAUGGGUGUACCCUUAAAUAACCUUCAGGAACACUACACAUUUAUGCACUGUUUUGAGAGGCAGAAAACAACCAUAAAAAGAACUUGGCACUCUAUAUUCUCUCUGUAACCAGAAGAGAAGAGUUUUGUUGGAAUCAUCUUUAUUAGAGGCAGCUGUCAGUAUGGAUUUUUUCCCCCUGGAUGAAAACAAAAGGUGUUACAGAGGAAUGUACAUAAAGAUAGCACCCAUGAGGCAUUAGGAUAAAUAAAAGUAGGCAAUAUUAAUGAUGCUCA
rnacentral:lncRNA from 12 species